rnacentral:rRNA from 1 species
UACAUAGGGUGCCAGCGUUGUCCGGAAUUAUUGGGCGUAAAGAGCUCGUAGGUCGUUUGCCGCGUCGAUUGUGAAAAUCUGAGGCUCAACCUCAGACCUGCAGUCGAUACGGGCAAACUAGAGUGUGGUAGGGGAGACUGGAAUUCCUGGUGUAGCGGUGGAAUGCGCAGAUAUCAGGAGGAACACCAAUGGCGAAGGCAGGUCUCUGGGCCAUAACUGACACUGAGGAGCGAAAGCGCGGGGAGCGAACAGGAUUAGAUACCCUGGUAGUCCGCGCCGUAAACGAUGGGCACUAGCUGUGAGAGCCUUCCACGGUUCUCGCGACGCAGCAAACGCAUUAAGUGCCCCGCCUGGGGAGUACGAUCGCAAGAUUAAAACUCAAAGGAAUUGACGGGGCCCCGCACAAGCAGCGGAGCAUGCGGCUUAAUUCGACGCAACGCGAAGAACCUUACCAAGGCUUGACAUAUAGCGAAAAGUGGCAGAGAUGUCAUGUCCGCAAGGGCGCUAUACAGGUGGUGCAUGGUUGUCGUCAGCUCGUGUCGUGAGAUGUUGGGUUAAGUCCCGCAACGAGCGCAACCCUCGUUCUGUGUUACCAGCAUUCAGUUGGGGACUCACAGGAGACUGCCGGGGUCAACUCGGAGGAAGGUGGGGAUGACGUCAAAUCAUCAUGCCCCUUAUGGCUUGGGCUGCACGCAUGCUACAAUGGCCGGUACAAAGUGCUGCGAAAUCGUAAGAUUUAGCGAAUCACAUAAAGCCGGUCUCAGUUCGGAUUGAGGUCUGCAACUCGACCUCAUGAAGUCGGAGUUGCUAGUAAUCGUAGAUCAGCAACGCUACGGUGAAUACGUUCCCGGGGCU